AUUGAACGCUGGCGGCAGGCCUAACACAUGCAAGUCGAGCGGAUGAAGGGAGCUUGCUCCUGGAUUCAGCGGCGGACGGGUGAGUAAUGCCUAGGAAUCUGCCUGGUCGUGGGGGAUAACGUCCGGAAACGGGCGCUAAUACCGCAUCCGUCCUGAGGGAGAAAGUGGGGGAUCUUCGGACCUCACGCUAUCAGAUGAGCCUAGGUCGGAUUAGCUAGUUGGUGGGGUAAAGGCUUACCAAGGCGACGAUCCGUAACUGGUCUGAGAGGAUGAUCAGUCACACGGGAACUGAGAAACGGUCCAGACUCCGACGGGAGGAAGCAGUGGGGAAUAUUGGACAAGGGGCGAAAGCCGGAUCCAGGCAUGCGGGGUGUGUGAAGAAGGUCUUCGGAUGGUAAAGCACUUUAAGUUGGGAGGAAGGGCAGUAAGUUAAUACCUUGCUGUUUUGACGUUACCAACAGAAUAAGCACCGGCUAACUUCGUG
rnacentral:rRNA from 1 species